UCCUAUAUACAGCUACCUAAAACAGAAGUUGGCACAUCUUCAUUAGAAGGUAUGCUCACUAGCUUGAUUUCUCCUAGAGAUGUAGAAUGUUUAUUCCCGCAAUGUUAUUUUGCAAUUUCCUUUUUUGAUGUAGCUGCUUAUCUAUCAAGUUUAUUUAGCAGAGUGUCUAUGAAAGUGUGCAGUUCAAAUAAUCGGGUUAUGUUAUACUAAGUAUCCUAUAAAUGAUCUGAAUGAACACAAGCGAUGGCGUCCGUCGGCCACGGUGCCCAAGGCGUAGACUGGACCCUUCUAAGGAGGCAUGUGGGGAUGCAUGCAAGACAUGCCCUCAUUCUAUGAAACAAAGUCAAAAGCAAAUGGGAGUAUGAGAGAUGGUGUAUGGACCAAGUGAUGGAGCAUCUCACGGACGGCGGCCCUCACUUCAAGCUCGAUGAGCUUAACUUAAACAUGCUCUUGCACUGGCAUGGUCGUGAUAGGUUUGUCAUCUGGGCGAUUGCCCGUGUUCGAAAGGUUGGUGUGAUUUUUCACUAUAGGAAUUGAUAGCUUGACAGGUUAUUUGGCUUAGCCUAUGUUGUGUUGUUGCUUGUUUGUCUGAUCCCUAUCAUGCUGAUGUUUCAUACCAUGAUAGCUGUUUAUGGUUGUAAUAUUACACCAUUGACAGGUUAAGAAAAGGUGUUUGCUGAUUGAGAAAGUUGAGAGACAACUUACGGACACUAUAACAGUUAGGAAUUUAUUGUUGGGCCAAAAUUAUGUCGUUGUUUAUAUACAUGCAUCAAUUCUUCAUGUAGCUCACUACUUAUUCUGUUAUGAGAAUAACAACUGUAGAUAGAGUCAUUCAUCUUGCUUCUUUUCUAGAUGAAUAACUUCAUUAUGGGUUGUGUCAUCCGAGGCAAGUUGAUACUACCUACUGUAUGCAAAUUCCAGAUGCAUUAGGAGGGGAGUGACGAAGCCGGAGGGGCCGAGGUGCCCUCAUCAUCAUGGGUGCUUGACGGUGCAUCAUAGACCAGGCGGAGGAUCUCCUGGUGGAGCUUGGCAGAACCGAGGCACUUGGAGGAGAAGACGCCAUGGAGCCCUCGCCCGCUGCUGGUAGGCUUUGGCGAGGACGAGCGCCGGGAAAGGUCCCAGAUGUUGCGCCAAGGCCUUCCGCGCCCGCACCCGAGGUAGGUGCUUCACUAACAAGCUGCUACAAGUGUACAAGGCCUUCCACGUUGAAGCUGAGAAGGCAAGAAGAUUUCGUUAUUAAUAGGGACAAAUAGGUGGCUAGCGUAUCCUUUUUGGUUGGCUGAAGCGUUGGAGUGCUAAAGUUCCAGAUAAAAAUCCAUCUUUGGCGCAUUUGUUUUCAGAUUAUUGCUGUUGGAGAUGAGCUAUACAGAGAGAGACACACACACUUAUCUGUACAAAAUCCAUCUUUGGCGCACUUGGGGAAACUUUGUCCAAGGGCAAUUCAUAGAUUGGAAUUUAGAUUUGGGGCAAUUUUGUUUGCCUUGCUUUGUACGGAUGUUGCUAUGCUUUGUGUAUUGUUGUCAUUAUUGUACAGAGAGAAGAUACAGUGAGACAGAUGGAGAGAUAUUGCUAGCUAUUUUUUGUGGAAUUGUUGUGUUCUGUUGGCCAAGAUUAUUCUUUGUUGGUUGCUGAAGCAAAUUGUUGUGAGGGAAAUUGGGCAUAAUUAUCAGCGUGCAACGCUUGAAGGUGUUCGGUGAAGCUUGUGCCACCGGGCAAAAGCUCGCCUUGCUCGACCAGUUGACACUCUGCCAUCAACACAUGAGGAGGACACAAAGUCUGGUGUUUCUUCUGUUGCAACGCAUAGCACGGUGGCAAACUAACGGGAGGGGAAUGGGAGUUUAACUCUAAUUCCCUUUCCCCAUCUCAAUUACCAGCCCUCCUUCAGGAUAUGUGGCACUUCUACACGUGAAUUCCCCU
rnacentral:lncRNA from 1 species